CGAUCUCCAAUUAUUCCUUAAAAAAAAACACCACAACCUCAUGCUCUCGAUCUUGCAUUACCAGCUUCAGACGAGGCUAACUUCUCUCCGCACAACCACCGUUAGUUCUCGUCUCCUCCGCUCCUCCUCCUCUUCCAGAUUCACACUCGCUAUCUCCGCUUCCUCGUCUCUCUCUUUCGCCAGAACUCUCGUCUCUUCUCCACUUCUCGCUAUCUCCGCUUCCUCUUCUCUCUCUUUCGCCAGAUCUCUCGUCUCUUCUCAAUUUCUCUAUUCCUCAUCUUUCUCUCAGAACAGACAUCGAAUUGCGUCGGUGAAUCGCAGCUUUAACUUAGUCGCCGCUACGAUACAAAAUAUUCAGCUUGGGAUCCUGAUCAGUUGAAAAGUGCUAGAGAAGACAUCAAAGAACUGCUCAAUUUCAAAUUCUGCCAUCCAAUUUUGGGUGGCAUGAUGUUGGAACGUUUAACAAGAACAUCACGGUAUGUCCACAGAGAGGUGGAGCUAUUGGAAGUCUCAUAUUUGAGAUUGAGCUUAAACAUGCUGCUAAUGCCGGCACUUCCAUAUAUUCGUUGAAUUGGGGAAUUUUAGCCAAUAACGAAGUAAAGAGUUUACUUUGAAGCAACAACGUUGAGAAAACAUGGAAAUUUAUUUACUUAGGAGCUAUAAUGAGCAGAAGAUUAAAGAAUUGCAGCAGAUACUGAAAGACUGAGAUUUGUUUGAUUGUAAAUAAUAAAAUCAUAUGGUGAAAGUGAGGUCUUUUGUACAACUAGAUCACUUAGGUACAACUGAGACAAUUUUUGGUAUAACUUGAACUACUCAGUGCAACUGCAUUAUUUAAUUGUCGAAUAGUUUCUUAUUUUUGGUACAACUGAUAAAUUUAAAUAUAAUUACAUGUAAUAAAAUUGGACCUUUUGUUUAUGUA